rnacentral:lncRNA from 1 species
CUAAAUAUCUGUAGUAGGCUAAGGAAUGUGUUCUUAAAAGAGAAUUUGUGAAGGAUCUAUUUUGCUUACUCAAGGAUCUCAUUUGCUGGGACACUUGUGUAGUGAAAGCAAAAGAACCAGGUGUAAGUGGAAAAACCCUUAGUCACUAAGGGUUGUUUGGGCUUCUCAGUGCUGAAAUUCAGGGGUGGCUGGUUUCCUCUGCCACGACGGAUCCUGGCCUGAUUUGCCUGGCUGUUUUGACAUUUUGUAGACCCAACAUAUAGAAGGACACCCGAGGGGAGUUUCGUACUCAAGUGGUCGCUAUUCUCCUCACACGUACCUUGGAGCGUCUUCGCAAGGUGUGAGGUUGGGAAGGCUGGGACACAUUCAUGGGGAUGUAGGAAAAAGCAGUGUGUCGGGAGUGCUUUUAGUUUCCAAUAGGGAGAGUCACUUUAAAGCUUUAUUUGUCUCUCAUGCCUCAGCUAACCCCAAGAGAAAAGCUUAGCUCAGGACAGGAAGCUCAGAGCGCCCAAAAGGAUGACAACACAACUCAGGGCUAUUUAUGUCUGCCUCUUACAUGUCCCUCUGUGCCAUUACCCCAAGGCUGAGGUGUGCUGGCGCUGUAGGGAUCCUGACUAUACCAUCAUUCCCUCGGAAACCAACAGGCCGACAUGCUGCACAGGCCAGGCCCACUGCAACCCGACCCAUGAGACCCAUGCUUUUCCCAGGCUACCUCCCUGCCCCUGGAGUUACAGGAGCUGGUGGCUGACAAUGAAUGGUUUUGCAGAGGUCUUCAGAGGCCUCAGUGGCUGACUUUCUGUGUGCCCGACCAGAUGUCAGGAGCAAUGGAGCACCAGUGUUAGGAGAACCUACCUCCCCUGGCUCCAUCAAAGCCACAGACCCAUGAGAACCAUCCAGCCUAGCCUGAGCCACACGCCCGGAGGCCACAGCCUGUGUGCAGGAAAGUGAGAGGAAGUGGAAACGUGUGAGCAGAGGGCUCAAAGCAACGGGCUCACCACCGGAAAAAAAAAUAAAAAUAAACACGCUCAGAAAUAGUGUAACUGAUAUGCAAAGAA